rnacentral:lncRNA from 1 species
UGUGCGUGAGGAGGGGCGGACGCCCCUCCCUCUUUCCUUCUUUGCUCCAUACGCAUGAAGGGCUCUCUCCCUUCCUUUUAUGCAUGAGUCACCUAAUUUAAUUAGGUGUUACAUGGUUCCACCUGAUCCAUUGAAUCCUAAUCCAAUUAAAACCCAAUGUGUCAUCCAAAUUGAUUUAUGUGAAUCCUAAUCCAAUUAGGAUUUGAAUUGGACUUCAUGAAUCAAGUUUCUUAUCUAAUAAAGAGUUCUAAUUAAUUAGACCUUUCCAUCCUUAUCUAAUAAGGUUAAGCCUAUUUUAAUUAGGUCCAAUUAAAUCAAUUAAAUUGCAAUCUAGUUGCGAUUUCUUCUUCUUUAACUCACUAACUCUUAGCGGGUUAAAUCAAAUUGACAAUUAAUUUUAAUUUUGAUUUCAAAUCGUAAUCCAACCGUUAGAACGAUCAAAACCUCUAAUGUGUGUGACGCCGUAUGUUCUAUUCUGACUGGUAGCGAGAUGUAUUAUGAUUUCUAUCAUAAUAUCAUCGAAACUCCUUUCAAUGUGUUGGAACAAUUUCAACUCUACUCUUAGGGUUCACUAAUCACCAAGUGAAUGCCUUCGAGUCUCACAAUCCACUAGUGACACCUAGCAGCAUAUAGUGACAAUUCAGCAGAAUGGAAGGGAUGAACUUCUAGUUGCAGUUAGCGUAUGAUACAGUACCCCUAUCAUGGAUCCCGACAUGACGGAGGUUAUGGAUAAUUCGUCAAACCCCAUCGUCUGUCUUAUGUCAGAUUUAUUUGACUCAAGUUCGAGAUUUGGAAAACUCGUUUUUCAGAACCGCCAUGGUUAAGGUCUUUCGAACUUAGUCUAAUAAAUCACAUAGGAUCACUCCUAAUCUAUUAAGGUCGAUAGAUCCCAUCUAGAUGCAACCCUAAUCCGAUAGUAAACCUACUGCAGCUAAUCUGCACCACAAGGACCUUUAGAGCCUAUAUAUAUGUGCUCGUCAAACUACAGCAACCUCAUCGUGAUUAGCUGAGGCAUCGCAGGUCUAAUAAGUACUAGUCAUACAACUGCAGCAUCAAGUAAGUCACUAACGAGUGGAUAGACAUCCAAGUGAUUUCUUGCUUUGGUUACGUUUAGUACCCUUGUUUUAUAACAAGCACUUGCACAAUCACCUCAGUGUCGCCACACUAUGGACUUAAGACUCGUCCAUUAAGAAAAGUGAUAUGUGCACUAAUCUCAUCGGAUCGAUCACCGUUCUUCGGAUGAUCCAUCGAUCGGAAGCUAUUCAGGAAUUAACUAUUAAUUACACAUGCCUUAAAUUUUCAAUUCUUGAGAAUGUGUCAUUAAUUUUAUUAAUUCUUAGGACGAUUCAUGGAUACAUAAUAACACAAAUGAACAAAAUGCUUGAUUUUAUUAAUUAAUAAAAGAUCAAGUACAAAUUUCAUGCCUCCAGAAUAAUUAUAAUGCGUCUGCCAAAUUGACUUUAGGGCAUACUCCUAACAAUCUCCCACUUGCACUAAAGCCAAUCAGACAUAUCUAAGCCCCAUCUUCUCAAGGUGUGCUUCUGUUUUUUGCUGACUCAGNNNNNNNNNNNNNNNNNNNNGAUUCAUGGAUACAUAAUAACACAAAUGAACAAAAUGCUUGAUUUUAUUAAUUAAUAAAAGAUCAAGUACAAAUUUCAUGCCUCCAGAAUAAUUAUAAUGCGUCUGCCAAAUUGACUUUAGGGCAUACUCCUAACAAUCUCCCACUUGCACUAAAGCCAAUCAGACAUAUCUAAGCCCCAUCUUCUCAAGGUGUGCUUCUGUUUUUUGCUGACUCAGCUGUUUAGUGAAUGAGUCCGCCACGUUAUCUGUGGAGGCUACUCUCUGCACUUCUACAUACUUCUUUUCGAGGUAGUCGCGUAUCAGGCGAUAUCGUCGCUCUAUGUGCUUAGACUUCUGGUGAGACCUCGGCUCCUUAGCUAGUGCUAUGACGCCAUUGUUGUCGCAGUAGAGUGUGAUAGCAUCUGAUGACAUCACGCCUAACUCUUCAACAAACUUUUUGUACCAGAAUGCUUCCUUUGCAGCUUCAGAGGCGGCAAUGUACUCAGCUUUCAUGGUAGAAUCUGCAAUAAUCGGUUGUUUAGAACUCUUCCAAUUUACUGAACCACCAUUGCAUAAGAACACAUACCCUAAUGUAGACUUUCUAUCGUCAAUGUUAGUCAUCAAAUCUGAAUUUGUGUAUUCUUCUACCUUUAAUUCUGAUCCUCCAAAGAUCAAGAACAUAUCCUUAGUUCUUCUUAAGUACUUAAGAAUGUUCUUCACAGCUGUCCGGUGCUCUUCACCUGGAUUCGACUGAUAUCUGCUUGUGAUACUCACAGCAUGUGCUAUAUCAGGUCGUGUACAUAGCAUGGCAUACAUGAGGUUCCCUAUAGCCGAAGCAUAAGGGAUCUUGCUCAUGCGUUGAAUCUCUUCAGAUGUGUUGAGCACAUCUUCUUGGAGAGAUGAAUCCUAUGCCUAAGGGGUAGUAAUCCCCUUUUUGAGUUUUUCAUGCUGAACCUCUUCAGCAUUUUCUCUAUGUACAUUUUCUGUGACAAGCCAAGCAUUCUUUUGGAUCUAUCUCUAUAUACCUUAAUUCCUAAAAUGUAGGAUGCUUCCCCAAGGUCUUUCAUGGAGAAUUUCUUAGACAACCAUACGGAAUAUCAUUCCCAAUUAUGAGGAUAUCAUCCACGUAUAAUACGAGGAAUACAAUAGCCCUCCCACUAAUCUUCUUAUAAACACAUGGUUUCUCUUCGCUCUUAAUGAAAUCAAACGAUUUGAUUACAUUGUUGAAACGAGUGUUCCAACUCCGAGAUGCUUGCUUUAGUCCAUAGAUGAACCUUUGCAGUUUGCAGACCUUGUGAUCACCAUCACUGGAAGUGAAACCCAAAGGCUGCUUCAUAUAGAUAUCUUCUUCAUGAUAUCCAUUUAGAAAAGCAGUUUUCACAUCCAUCUGCCAUAUCUCAUAGUCAUGAUAUGCUGCAAUAGCAAGCAAUGUUCGAAUGGACUUCAGCAUGGAUACAGGUGAAAAGAUUUUCUGAAAGUCGGUGCCUUCGCGCUGACUAUAACCUUUUGCUACUAGCCUUGCUUAUAGGUCUCUAUCUGGCCAUCCGAACUUAUUUUCCUCUUGUAGAUCCAUCUACAUCCAAUAGAUACUAUACCUUCUGGUGGAUCUACUAAGGUCCAGACUUGGNNNNNNNNNNNNNNNNNNNNACCUUUUGCUACUAGCCUUGCUUAUAGGUCUCUAUCUGGCCAUCCGAACUUAUUUUCCUCUUGUAGAUCCAUCUACAUCCAAUAGAUACUAUACCUUCUGGUGGAUCUACUAAGGUCCAGACUUGGUUGGUAUGCAUGGAGUCCAUCUCCGACUUCAUCGCUUCCAACCAUUUCUCGAAAUCGAUGUCUAACAUCGCCUCGUUGUAGCUAUUGGGAUCCUUAGAAUGAUCCCUAUUUCCCACGAAGAAUACUUCCCUUACUUCCUCUGUAAGUAUACCUAAGUACUUUUCAGGAGGAUGGAAAAUCCUACUAGAUCUACGAGGUGGAGUAGGUUUUAUGUGUAUUGGCUCAAUGUGAAUAGGUUCUAUAGGUAUUUCACCAAAAAAAAUAGGUUCUAUAGGUACAGUG